rnacentral:rRNA from 1 species
CACGCUGUAAACGAUGAGUACUAGGUGUCGGGGGUUACCCCCCUCGGUGCCGCAGCUAACGCAUUAAGUACUCCGCCUGGGAAGUACGCUCGCAAGAGUGAAACGCAAAGGAAUUGACGGGGACCCGAACAAGUAGCGGAGCAUGUGGUUUAAUUCGAAGCAACGCGAAGAACCUUACCUAAGCUUGACAUCCCAAUGACAUCUCCUUAAUCGGAGAGUUCCCUUCGGGGAC